UUCCAGUCUCCUGCCGCAUUUCACGUGAUGAUGCAGCAAGAAUUAAGCCAUCUGCAACCUGGUAGGAGGGUCCCUACCAGAACCUUACCCUGCUGGCACCCUGAUCUCAGAUGUCCAGCCUCCAGAACGGGAUCCCCGCCUCACUGAGUGGACCCAGGUUGAAAACCAGAUCUACAGGGAACCAGUCCAUGGGUGAGACUGACCCAGUCUUGAGAAUUUGAACUAAAAGACCUGAAUAGUCAGAUGACCACAAGUGGUUGGUUGUGAUCACUUGGAGUCUGUGUUAGGGAGUCCAUUUUUAGC
rnacentral:lncRNA from 1 species